rnacentral:rRNA from 1 species
UCUCGAUCACGGAAGUGCCUGGCGGGCAGUUUCACUGGGGCGGUGGCCUCCUAAAGAGUAACGGAGGCGCCCAAAG